ACCAUCUAAAGAGGCCCCAGAUUAGAGAGUUUGGCCACCAGUAAAACCUUUUGGAUGCAUAUAGCAUUCUGUCGACCACCUUAAGUGCAUGGCCAGAAUUGGCAUGGUUUUACUAUUACAUUAUGGACCUGCUCCUAUAACCAAAACAGAAUGUCCCACAACCCACCCUUCCCCUCUAGAGUAACCCUGUGAAGUCUCAAAUGUAUUGGAGCCCCCUUGAAUGCUCUGUCAAUUCGUCGAGCACCUUGGGCGCGUGCCGAGAGCGCGCAUAUUGCAUGCGUCGUGCCCGAGCCGUCGCGUACACCUACCCCCGCGCCCCAACCUUUCCCGCCUUGCAGAGUCACGCCGCACCCCUUCCCCCUUGCUAAGCGUCGUCGACAGACCCCCUCGUGCUGCCGAGAGCCGUCGUUGUAGCUGCCUUGGCGGCUAGCCGCCAACCGCGUCCGCUCUGUGCCAUGGCAGCGCCGGACAGCCUCUCCCAGCUCGCGAGCUCCCCCACGAAGUAGUGCUCAGUUCGUCCGCAAGCUCCCGCCGCCUUGUAGAGCCUUGCCACGUCGCCCCUCCGCCUAUGACAGCUGUGCUGACGAUCUUAUCCUCGGACAGCCGCGGGAACUGACCUCCCCGGCUAUAAAAGGACCCCUCGACCCCUUUUUGCAACCAGAGCCGCCCCCUGCACCUCUCCUUUGAACCCCUGAAGCAACCAUGCCAUCACAGGAGCUCGUCUCGCUCGCUUCCGUCCGAGACGUCCGCUAGAGCCCUCCGGUUAAAUCCGUCGAAACCAAGACCCCUGUCGCCCCGCUAUCCUUGCUAUUAGUGUCCCUGUGGUCACGCAAAACCGUUCCCCUCUCCACUUUCAUCUGAAAGAGCACACCACCGGAACCCCUAUACCUCCCCAAAGCCACUGUCCGCCAAAGAACGCAUCCCCAGCAACACUGGGAUCCCCUCGGUCUCGGACCCCCUGAUCGCAUAGGUGGCCUCAACUCCUCAAGAUCUUCCACCAUUCGCCGGCGAGGAUUGUUGGAGCCCCGCCUAUGUCCAGACGCGAGGAAGAGGGAUGCGGGCGACUAGUCAAACCUGACUGGUGGACCCACAAACCCACGGUGAGUGAGACAGAGGUCAUACCGAUUCGUCCGAAGUGGAGGCGCAUUCAGCAAAAUUGCGUAUUUGGAGAGGAGCACUAUGAUGACAACCCUAGAACCUAGGCACCGAAGAUAGCAGCCGUGCGACAUAAGAGUUAUCUAGGUCAUUUGUUCCUGUGGGAAAUGGAGUCCCAUAGACGCUGGAGAUCUGCAAACCGCUUCCGCCAUCAGCCACUAGAAAACUUGUUGUACCCAUAGACCGUCAUGGUCUAGUACCCAAAAAAUACAUUUGCUUUGAUAUUUUGUAUCAAGGAUGUGUGCACCACCUAA